CCCUUAGAUGUUCUGGGCCGCACGCGUGCUACGCUGAGUGGAUCAGCGGGUCAGGUUGCGCGAAAGUGUUUCCUAAUCUUUAAAUCCGCUCGUGAUGGGGAUUGACGGUUGCAAUUUUCCGUCAUGAACGAGGAAUACCUUGUAAGCGCGGGUCAUCAUCCCGCGCUGAAUACGUCCCUGCCCUUUGUACACACCGCCCGUCGCUCCUACCGAUUGAGUGGUCCGGUGAGGCUUUGGGAUCUGAGCGGAAAGAGCGUUUCGCUGUUUCUGCCCGGAAAACUCAGUCGAACCUUAUCAUUUAGAGGAAGGAGAAGUCGUAACA
rnacentral:rRNA from 1 species